CACAAAUUACGAUAGUAAAAUAAAGAAAGAUAGAGGAAUAUCAUAUCACAGGCACCACUAUUAUUAUAUCCUACAAGUUGGAGUGAUGACCUUGUACGGGUUCCGGGAACUGCCUUGAAACGAAUAGCGUAAGAUCGGUCCGUAUGGAGUUCUAUAAGGAGGACUAUGCUCAGCAGUGGGUGUUUAUCGGGUGAAAUGAUGAUGACCGAAAACGAACACCACAGCUAGUAAUAAAUGCUUAAUACAGU